rnacentral:rRNA from 1 species
AAGGUAAUGGCUUACCAAGGCUACGAUCUUUAGCUGGUCUGAGAGGACGAUCAGCCACAUUGGGACUGAGACACGGCCCAGACUCCUACGGGAGGCAGCAGUGGGGAAUAUUGGACAAUGGGCGCAAGCCUGAUCCAGCCAUACCGCGUGUGUGAAGAAGGCCUUCGGGUUGUAAAGCACUUUAAGCAGGGAGAAAAAGCAAUAAGUUAAUACCUUAUUGCCGUGAUGUUACCUGCAGAAUAAGCACCGGCUAAUUCCGUGCCAGCAGCCGCGGUAAUACGGAAGGUGCAAGCGUUAAUCGGAAUUACUGGGCGUAAAGCGCGCGUAGGUGGUUUGUUAAGUUGGAUGUGAAAGCCCUGGGCUCAACCUAGGAACUGCAUCCAAAACUAACUCACUAGAGUACGAUAGAGGGAGGUAGAAUUCAUAGUGUAGCGGUGGAAUGCGUAGAUAUUAUGAAGAAUACCAGUGGCGAAGGCGGCCUCCUGGAUCUGUACUGACACUAAGGUGCGAAAGCGUGGGUAGCGAACAGGAUUAGAUACCCUGGUAGUCCACGCCGUAAACGAUGACAACUAGCUGUUGGGAGACAAUGUCUUUCAGUGGCGCAGCUAACGUUUUAAGUUGUCCGCCUGGGGAGUACGGCCGCAAGGCUAAAACUCAAAUGAAUUGACGGGGACCCGCACAAGCGGUGGAGCAUGUGGUUUAAUUCGAUGCAACGCGAAAAACCUUACCUACUCUUGACAUACUUGGAAGCUCUUGUAAUGAGAGUGUGCCUUUUGGAGCCAAGAUACAGGUGCUGCAUGGCUGUCGUCAGCUCGUGUCGUGAGAUGUUCCGUUAAGUCGGAUAACGAGCGCAACCCUUACCCUUAUUUGCCAGCGAUUCGGUCGGGAACUAUAAGGGGACUGCCGGUGAUAAACCGGAGGAAGGUGAGGACGACGUCAAGUCAUCAUGGCCCUUA